rnacentral:siRNA from 1 species
CGUCAUGUCACGGCUGCA